CAGUGUUUAGUUUAUUGUAAAAUAUAAUAUUUGGGUUAUUAAGAUUUAUAUCACUGA
rnacentral:tRNA from 1 species